CAGUCGCCACGGGAAUACGAAGGGGGCUAGCGUUGUUCGGAAUUACUGGGCGUAAAGCGCACGUAGGCGGAUAUUUAAGUCAGGGGUGAAAUCCCGCAGCUCAACUGCGGAACUGCCUUUGAUACUGGGUAUCUUGAGUAUGGAAGAGGUUAGUGGAAUUGCGAGUGUAGAGGUGAAAUUCGUAGAUAUUCGCAGGAACACCAGUGGCGAAGGCGGCUAACUGGUCCAUAACUGACGCUGAGGUGCGAAAGCGUGGGGAGCAAACAGGAUUAGAUACCCCCGUAGUCCCUGUCUCUUAUAU
rnacentral:rRNA from 1 species